rnacentral:rRNA from 1 species
UACGUAGGGCGCGAGCGUUGUCCGGAAUUAUUGGGCGUAAAGAGCUCGUAGGUGGCUUGUCGCGUCUGCCGUGAAAGGCCUGGGCUUAACCCGGGUUCUGCGGUGGAUACGGGCUGGCUAGAGGUAGGUAGGGGAGAACGGAAUUCCUGGUGUAGCGGUGAAAUGCGCAGAUAUCAGGAGGAACACCGGUGGCGAAGGCGGUUCUCUGGGCCUUACCUGACGCUGAGGAGCGAAAGCGUGGGGAGCGAACAGGAUUAGAUACCCCCGUAGUCC